UACAGAGGGUGCGAGCGUUAAUCGGAAUUACUGGGCGUAAAGCGCACGUAGGCGGCUUGGUAUGUCGGGUGUGAAAUCCCCGGGCUCAACCUGGGAACUGCAUCCGAAACUGCCUUGCUCGAGUAUGGGAGAGGGAAGUGGAAUUUCCGGUGUAGCGGUGAAAUGCGUAGAGAUCCGGAGGAACACCAAAGGCGAAGGCAGUGUCCUGGGGAGUACCUGACGCUCAGGUGCGAAAGCCAGGGGAGCGAACGGG
rnacentral:rRNA from 1 species